CAGCUCUCAGAAGCCUCGGUACGAGCCACGAGCACGACAGCCAGUGCGCUCAAUUGGCUUGUCAUACCCGCUCACACCGUGCAGUUUUUGGACACUUUUUUCUUCUUUUUUCCCGGAGCAUUUUCCCUCCCCAUUGCCUCACCUUUGACAAACCUCACGGAUAUCCACGCUUGUUGGAGAGGAGAGUUGGUUCGUACGCGCACCGGAGGACGUGUGUAAAGGGAUGUAAAAAAAAAAAAAAGGGGACACUGUGCCGUUGGAUACGACAGAAAAAAGCCGGUGAAUUCUGUGGAGGAGCCGUGCGUAAACUGGAGGCGAUUAGACGAGGAUUUGUACGAACUGUUUUGGAAAAUGUUCUGUUCUGAUAAUUACUAAAGGGACGUUUUUGAGAGAAAUUGCCACUUUGUGAAUGAAAGAACGCCAGCUUUACCCGCAUUCGCUGCUGGAGGUUGAAUUUUCCAAAGCAAGGGAGAUGGUGUUAACACAGAGAUGUUCAGAGUUGAGGGGCCAGCAACGCUUUGAUGUGAGGACAGUCUUUCAACAUCAAAAUCACUGAGGAAGUGUGUUGCUCCCGGAUGCGUGUUGCGAGCCUGAGAUUUCUGUCAGGAGCUGAAGGAUG
ensembl:lncRNA